rnacentral:rRNA from 1 species
UACGGGAGGGUGCAAACGUUGCUCGGAAUCAUUGGGCGUAAAGCGCAUGUAGGCGGUCCAGCAAGUCGGGUGUGAAAGCCUCGGCUUAACCGAGGAAGUGCAUUCGAAACUACUGGACUUGAGUACUGAAGAGGGUCGCGGAAUUCCCGGUGUAGAGGUGAAAUUCGUAGAUAUCGGGAGGAACACCAGUGGCGAAGGCGGCGACCUGGGUCGAGACUGAGCUGAGC